UACGUAGGGGGCAAGCGUUGUCCGGAUUUAUUGGGCGUAAAGAGCGUGUAGGCGGUUUGGUAGGUCCGUUGUGAAAACUCGAGGCUCAACCUCGAGACGCCGAUGGAAACCAUCAGACUAGAGUCCGGAAGAGGAGAGUGGAAUUCCUGGUGUAGCGGUGAAAUGCGCAGAUAUCAGGAGGAACACCGGUGGCGAAGGCGGGACUCUGGGCCGAUACUGACGCUGAGGAGCGAAAGCGUGGGGAGCAAACAGG
rnacentral:rRNA from 1 species